GACGAACGCUGGCGGCGUGCUUAACACAUGCAAGUCGAACGGUGAAGCUCCAGCUUGCUGGAGUGGAUCAGUGGCGAACGGGUGAGUAACACGUGAGCAACCUGCCCCUGACUCUGGAAUAAGCGCUGGAAACGGCGUCUAAUACUGGAUACGAGAAGGGUCCGCAUGGGCACUUUCUGGAAAGUUUUUCGGUUGGGGAUGGGCUCGCGGCCUAUCAGCUUGUUGGUGAGGUAAUGGCUCACCAAGGCGACGACGGGUAGCCGGCCUGAGAGGGCGACCGGCCACACUGGGACUGAGACACGGCCCAGACUCCUACGGGAGGCAGCAGUGGGGAAUAUUGCCCAAUGGGCGAAAGCCUGAUGCAGCGACGCCGCGUGAGGGAUGACGGCCUUCGGGUUGUAAACCUCUUUCAGCAGGGAAGAAGCGAAAGUGACGGUACCUGCAGAAGAAGCACCGGCUAACUACGUG
rnacentral:rRNA from 1 species